UACGUAGGUGGCGAACGUUAUCCGGAAUUAUUGGGCGUAAAGGGUGCGUAGAUGGCUUGAUAAGUUAGCGGUGGUAAAUCGAGGCUCAACCUCGUGGAAGCUGGUAAUACUGUCAGGCUCGAGUGCAGGAGAGGUUAACGGAACUCCAUGUGGAGCGGUAAAAUGCGUAGAUAUAUGGAAGAACACCAAUAACGGCGAAGGCAGUUAACUAUUCUGCUACUGACAUUGAGGCACGAAAGCGUGGGGAGCAAAAAGG
rnacentral:rRNA from 1 species